rnacentral:rRNA from 1 species
AACGUAGGUUCCGAGCGUUAUCCGGAUUUACUGGGCGUAAAGCGCGUUCAGGCGGUUUGGCAAGUCGGGCAUGAAAUCUCUCGGCUCAACCGAGAGAGGUUGUCCGAUACUUCCAGACUUGAGGGCAGUAGAGGGUGGUGGAAUUCCGGGUGUAGUGGUGAAAUGCGUAGAUAUCCGUAGGAACACCAGUGGCGAAAGCGGCCACCUGGACUGCACCUGACGCUGACACGCGAAAGCUAGGGGAGCGAACGGG